UGUGCUGUGGUUCAGAGGUAGAGCGCUCACCUAGCAUGCGUGAGACACUGAGUUCAAUACUCCGCACCACAU
rnacentral:tRNA from 1 species